GUUGUCAUGGUUUUGUAACUUCGCUAUUGGUAUUCCACAUCAUAACAUCAUGGACAAAAGAGAAGAACUACGUAUCCCAGAGGACCUCACGGUCAGAGAAGGAAGACACAUCACGGAAGAUACGUCAUCUGGUUGCGCGCGGUGCUUCUUCACUUUCGCUUGCUGCCGGGAGAGGAGUGGGUGUGCUUUCCAAGCCGGGCGCCUUCAUCAAGGUUUUCAAGGGAUACUGAUGCACACGAAACAUGAGGGAACGGGUUCCAGCUUCACAGAAACCAAAGUUAUUGGUUUAUCUUUACUUAAUGCAUGAUCCAGUAAGACAGCCCCCACACAUGGAAUUCAAAUCAGGCUGGCAGGAACACUCAGAAGUCAGACAAAGUUCAGACAUUACAUCCUUAGAAGGACGCUGAAUGCUUAUCUUACUGUUGGAUUGUUUUGGCACUGCUUACGAAUUUGUUACAUAAUUUUCUCUGUUGAAAGGACUGUCUUGGAACAACUACUGAGAUCUGAAGUCUAAAAACUACUCUUGACAUCUGGCUAUGGCAUGAGAAGUUGUAUCACUGUCUACUUCAGUAGGCCACCUGUUCAAGCUGUAUCUGCCUUGCAUGCCCUUUGGCCAGUGAGAAAGAACUACCAAUGCAAAUGUUUUCCCUGCAGUGCAGGAGGAGCUGUGAAGAUGAAAGAAGCACAUUCUUUCCUCACAGUGGAAAUGCAUUAAUAAACCUUCACAAUGGAUGAACAGCAGCAGUGAGGUAACAACAACAACAAAACUUUCUGGAGCAAGUCCAGGAGUUAAGGUCAAGAUAAAGAAGCAGCAUUAUGAAAGUUUGUGACACUGCUGAGAGAUCAUGCUGGGAAGGAAUGCCAGCAGGUCAUAGGGACUUCCAGGAGCACUGGGAGAAGAUAGAAGCCUGGGAAGAAUCAGCAGAGGGUUUUAGAUGCUGAACUGCAGACUGAAAGUGGACAUCCUGGAGUGUAUAGUUCAGAAGUCUGUUGGACAGUUUUGAGGCAACUGUUAACAAUGAAGCUUUUUGUCUCCUACUUUUCCUACAUCCACAACAGCAUUUUGUUUCUGUAGGAAAAACCUAGGUAAACUUUGCUACCCAGUCAUACUUAUCUGAGCAUAACUUGUCAAUUAGGACAGCUCUGAUAUAUAGCUAUUUAGUGAUUUUGAAUAUAGGUUGCUGUACCUCUCCCUGAGUUGGCCACUAGGAAGCAUAACGAGCCUACAGGGCAUGUUAGUGGUAAUUUAAAGCUGUUGCAGAACACUGUGAAGAGGCUGAGCUCUGGAAGGCUGGAACCAAGCUCACUGUAACCAAGGUCCACUCGUGCUCAUUGUCUGAGCCUAUUCCUGGGACUGUACUGACCCCUAGUGACUACAACUCUAAUUAAAUAAUUUCCAAAGCCUCUGUAUAAUUAUUAUUUUUACACAAAGUAUUGCUGUACAAAGGAGCUUUCAUUAAAAGGUGUCUCCAUUAGGAGGACAUUAUUAAAAUACUUUUUAAGCAAUGUCUACAGGAAGGGAAAUUUUGCUGUUUUUAUUUUACAAUAACCCAUUAUUUUUUUUCUCAUGUGUGUGCUGACUUAAGACAUACUUUGAUAUAUUAAUAAAUGAACAGCUUAUUUAAAAUACCACUGCUGCUAAGAUCCUGGGAGUCAGUGAUUUUAAU
ensembl:lncRNA